GAUGAAGAACGUAGCGAAAUGCGAUAAGUAAUGUGAAUUGCAGAAUUCAGUGAAUCAUCGAAUCUUUGAACGCACAUUGCGCCCUCUGGUAUUCCGGGGGGCAUGCCUGUUCGAGCGUCAUUAUAACCACUCAAGCUCUCGCUUGGUAUUGGGGUUCGCGGUUUCGCGGCCCCUAAAAUCAGUGGCGGUGCCUGUCGGCUCUACGCGUAGUAAUACUUCUCGCGAUUGAGUGCGAUAGGUCUACUUGCCAGUAACCCCCAAUUUUUACAGGUUGACCUCGGAUCAGGUAGGGAUACCCGCUGAACUUAAGCAUAUCAAUAAGCGGAGGA
rnacentral:misc_RNA from 1 species